GUCUUUAUUAAGGUUCCCUGGACAUGUGUAAUAAAAAGUGGUAACUUCAAACAUUUGCACCAACAUUUAUUAUAGAGAUCUCCAUACAACUUUAGCCACCAGCAUGGUGGUCGCUGGAAGAACCAGAUGACCGGUGCAGUUUUCUCCUUAUAGGAGCACCGGCCCGGAGGUUUCGGGUUUACUCAAUGAAAUGAGUAAAAAGCAUUCAAAAUAAUCCUUCUUGAUGCAAAGAAGCCUGUUGGCACAGAGCAUUAUAAAAUCUGCAUUGCACCAGAAGAGAAAAUCUUAUGCCUUACUAUCUUGAUGUCAUUU